rnacentral:rRNA from 1 species
UCCAGACUCCUACGGGAGGCAGCAGUGAGGAAUAUUGGUCAGUGGGCGGAAGCCUGAACCAGCCAAGUCGCGUGAGGGAAGACGGUCCUAUGGAUUGUAAACCUCUUUAGGCGGGGAGCAAUGCCGGGCACGCGUGCCCGGAGGGAGAGUACCCGCAGAAUAAGCAUCGGCUAACUACGUGCCAGCAGCCGCGGUAAUACGUAGGUGGCAAGCGUUAUCCGGAUUUACUGGGUGUAAAGGGCGUGUAGGCGGGACUGCAAGUCAGAUGUGAAAACCAUGGGCUCAACCUGUGGCCUGCAUUUGAAACUGUAGUUCUUGAGUACUGGAGAGGCAGACGGAAUUCCUAGUGUAGCGGUGAAAUGCGUAGAUAUUAGGAGGAACACCAGUGGCGAAGGCGGUCUGCUGGACAGCAACUGACGCUGAGGCGCGAAAGCGUGGGGAGCAAACAGGAUUAGAUACCCCGGUA